CACACCCCACAGAUACAAACAUAGGAGGGUCUUUUGAAGAACAGCAGUUGCUGGGUUUUGGUCACAGCAGAUAACCAUGAACUGGUUACUCCCUGCCUUCAGCAGCACUCCUUGUGGACAAGUAAUAAGUUCUGCAGUAUUGGACUUCUUUUAUGUAAUGGAAGAUAAUGAGAGGCACAGCAAGAAGCAGGUUUAUUGCGUCCUAUAGAAAUGUAUCAAUCCAAAGGUGGAAUGUCACUUCCUUAACUUGGUCUUCUCUGUGUCACUGAGUUGAUGUGAUGAGGCUUUGGUACAGUCCCAGCCGGCCAGUGGUGGAUUUCCUUCGAGGCAGAGG